GACUAUGGAGGAUGGCGAGCGGCUCUCUGGUCUGUCACUGACGCUGAGGCUCGAAAGCGUGGGUAGCAAACAGGAUUAGAUACCCUGGUAGUCCACGCCGUAAACGAUGACUGCUAACUGUUGGAGGGUUUCCGCCCUUCAUGGCUGCAUUUAACGCAUUAAGCACUCCGCCUGGGGAGUACGACCGCAGGUUGAAACUCAAAGGAAUUGACGGGGGCCCGCACAAGCGGUGGAGCAUGUGGUUUAAUUCGAACCAACGCGAAGAACCUUACCAGGUCUUGACAUCCUUUGACCACUCUAGAGAUCCAGGGUCCCCUUCGGGGGCAAAGUGACAGGUGGUGCAUGGUUGUCGUCAGCUCGUGUCGUGAGAUGUUGGGUUAAGUCCCGCAACGAGCGCACCCCUUAUUGUUAUUUGCCAUCAUUCAGUUGGGCACUCUAGGGGACUGCCGGUGACAAACCGGAGGAAGGGGGGGGAUGACGUCAAUCAUCCUGCCCCUUAUGACCUGGGCUACACACGUGCUACAAUGGGAAGUACAAAGGGUUGCGAAAUCGCGAGGCUGAGCUAAUCUCUUAAAAGCUCUCGUCUCAGUUCGGGAUUCGCGAGUCUGCAACUCGCACUGCAGUCGAAGCUCGGAAUCGCUAGUAAUCGCUGCAUCAGCACUGGCGCGGGUGAAUACGUUCCCGGGGCCUUGUACACACCGCCCGUCACACCACGAGAAGUGUGUAUAGCACCCGAAGUGGUGAGCGUAACCUUUCUGGAGAGCGCUCCCCUACAGUGGUGAUAUCAUGAUCUGGGGUGAAAUUCGUAACAAGGUAACCGCGUAAG
rnacentral:rRNA from 1 species